CCUUUCCCCCUCUUGGCAUUGGCCCUCUUCAUGCCAAAGUGAGCUCCCUGUAACUAGGGUGUGCAACUUUCCCAAGCUUACUCGCCCAUUUGAAAGCUAGUUAUAGAAAGCAGCCUCUUUGGAGAGUUAGGGGUUUGUCCUUCUAGCUCUCCUGUCGCCGUGCCCUACUCACACGCACAACCAAGUCCAAACCGAGCGAACUCUGCAUCCCGCUGGCCCUGACUGCUGCUGCUGCUGCAAGGUUUCCUGCUCUACGCCACAGCAACUCAGAAGAGAAAACGGAGAAGAGGACAGAAGUACCAAAGAAACGGCAGGAAAAGACAAUGGAAGCAGAAGCCACAGAAAAGGGACACACACCUUGCACGCAUGGGCCUCCCUGCAAUGAGGACACGGGAUUUCCACUUAAGCUUCAUUCCCCCUUGAGGUGCCAGGUAAAAGGACCUCCCUGUAAACGGGGAUCAAGGUCCACCC